rnacentral:rRNA from 1 species
CUUACCGGGUCCGGACACACUGAGGAUUGACAGGCAAUCAAUGUGAGAUUGCAUUCAUUUGUCGUCUCAUAUUAUAAAUAUGCUAGUCCUUUCAUGAUUAUGUGAUAGGUGGUGCAUGGCCGUUCUUAGUUCGUGGAGUGAUCUGUCUGCUUAAUUGCGUUUCGCAUGGGACUUAUAAAUAAGUGUGCUACUUUUCUUGUUUCGCUUUUUAUAUUUUAACUUUUAGUUAUAUUUAUAAAUUGCGUUUACUAUUAUGAAAUGUCUGCGCACAUUAGGUCCUGAAAGCAACGAACGUGACCGCAUCCUCUUGUUGCCUUUUACUUAAACGAACAGUCUUAUUUUUAAUAAAUUCGGCUGCGAGUUUUAACAAAAGAGUGCUUUAUAAAACUAGAGGGACCGCUGCGACUUUUUUAAGCCAGAGGAAGGUUGCGGCAAUAACAGGUCUGUGAUGCCCUUAGAUGUUCCGGGCUGCACACGUGCUACAAUGAUUAUUGCAGUGAGCAUCUCAUUUAUUAUAAAACGCUGUUUUAUUGACCAUUAUGAUUUAUUGUUUUGGUUGAGCAGCCAAGCCUGCUUCGAAAGUUCGCAGGUAAUCAAUUGGAAGUAAUGAUUUCCCUUUUUUUAAAAUUCAGAUUUUAAUUUGUCUUUUUGUGAAGCACACUAUAUGUUGCUCCCUUCCCUGGCCGUUUGCUUUUUUGUCUUUCGGUCUUUAGUGGUUGGGUGUCUUUUCAACAUGUGCUUUUUGUCAAUUCAUGGUGGGGACAGACCAUUGUUAAUUGUUGGUCUCGGUCUUAACUAGGAAUGCCUUGUACGGGUCUUUGGUUCAACAAACCACCCGGAAUACGUCCCUGCCCUUUGUACACACCGCCCGUCGCUCUUACCGAUGGACUUCUCUGUGAGUUUGAGGGACUGGGUACCUUAGCUUCUGCUUUAAAACUUAAGCUACAAUCACUUAUGGAAACUUAAACGAACAGUGUGGUCUAAAGGAAAGAGAAGUCGUAACAAGGCAUCGGUAGGUGAACC